UACGGGAGGCAGCAGUGGGGAAUAUUGCGCAAUGGGGGCAACCCUGACGCAGCCAUGCCGCGUGAAUGAAGAAGGCCUUCGGGUUGUAAAGUUCUUUCGGUAGCGAGGAAGGCAUUUAGUUUAAUAGACUAGGUGAUUGACGUUUAACUACAGAAGAAGCACCGGCUAACUCCGUGCCAGCAGCCGCGGUAAU
rnacentral:rRNA from 1 species